GCAGAUGUAGUUCAAUGGUAGAACCCCAGCCUUCCAAGCUGGUCACGCGGGUUCGAUUCCCGUCAUCUGCUCCA
rnacentral:tRNA from 1 species